AGCAGAUCUGUGAUGAAGAUCUCACAUCUGAACGUGUCCAGGAGGUAGUCCACUCUGUAGACCGGUCCUGCGUGAUGUGUUGGCGGUGGAGGGUUCGGCGUGCUGCUCGGAGGCACUACGGCAGCAUGUUUCUGUCUUCAUCAGGUCCGUUGAUGACAUCGGGAGAGUUACAAACAGGGAUCCACCGGAGUUCUGGCUUGCUUUGGUUUUCAGAGCCGUGUUCUCUUUCCACAUGUGAUCACGUGAUUGUUCCUGUCGCCGCUGAUGUCACCUCAGCCAGCGGGCUGCGUGGGCACCAGGUUUUGGAAGAUAAGAAGAAUGUGCUGAAUAAAAAAGAAUGUCA
ensembl:lncRNA